CGAGCUGUAGCUCACGAAAGCUCAUGCUCAAAUAAAUUUGUUAGUGAAUAGAGGAAUGUCACCCAAGUUUUGAUAAGCAGAGGGUAGAGAAAAGUUCUUGCAGACCUGAAGAGGGUCAGUUUAUCCACCAGUUUAAUAAGAUGACUUCUUGUGGGACCAUGAUCAUCACAUGCACAUGAUGUCUAUUGUAGAUAUACUGAUUUGAACACCUGAAUAGAGCAUAGGUGAAGUCUGGCAAACUAUGUCAUACUUGAAGCUUGAAGCCAUGUGUCAGAGAAGUCAAGCACGUUUUCACUGAUUUUCUUGGGUGAUCGUGACGUUGGUUGGUAAGAUCUAUUAUUAUUUGAAAUCUUUCCUGUGGAAGGUAAACUGUUGACCUAGAGUCCACCGCUCCUGCUCCAAUGAAAGCUAUGCUCUCAGCCAUAGCAGAUUUCUCUCUGUUGACUGAGAUCCGGGAAGACAAAAAGCUUUAGGGUUACCUGACUUCAGUUGUUCACCUGGUUGGGGUCACCUUCCUUGAAUUAGUUAAAGUAUGGACAGACCUGGAUUCCUGCCUUUUUUAGAUGAGCUGCCACAAUUGCCAAGCACUUGAUGAACAACCUUGGUUGUGUGGAAAGACUAAAAGGCAGGACCCUGUAUUGGUAGCGUAGCGAGGCAGAGUGGUUCCCUGCCGCCCCAGGGUGGGAUGAGCCCUUCUCCAAACCAGAGUGAGCAGAGCCAGCGAGUCCCAUGCCCACCCCCCAGUGGUCAAGGCACAGGACAGGAAGUAUAAAAGCCCAACCCCAGAGCUCACUCAGGAAGCAGCUGCUGGAGAGGCCAGACGCCGCCGGCCUAGCUCCCAGUUGGGAAACCUUGGCGACCUAUGGCGGACCCGAGGACUGGCAUGACCUGCCAACGCCCGACACCGACCAGAGCCUGGAGGAGCUGCCCAGCCUGCCCCUUGCCAGUUACCCAGAAACCCCAUGGUGCUUGACCUCACAGAGGACACGCACCGGACACAGGUAUCUCCAGAGGGGGAGUUCGGAAGUAGCCCGGGGGCAGCCAACCCUAGUCUGGCUGCAGCACAGCCAGAGCUUAUGUCAGUGUGUUGUGGCCAGGAUCCCCACUGACUCCACAGCAAACCUGCCAAGAUUUCUUAAAAUAAGAGGUGGUAGCCAUCAGGAGGCCAAGAUGUUAAAAAUAUUUCUCAGGCUUUUGACACUGGCAUCAAAUUUGUUGCCUGGUGAAAGCUCCAGACUGAAGAGCAAAAGAGGAAACGGAAUAGGAUUGCCUAUGGUGGAAUCUCUCUCUCCUUCAGCUGAUCUGAGGUCCUCUUUUGUCUGAUAGUAAUACUGGGCAGAGGAGUGCUGUCUGAAAGAUGGCUACUGGCAUCUGCACUUUCUUCUUGAAGCAACAACCAUGGGUCCAAAGAGCAGAAGUCAGGAAAAAAGGAGAUGUGAAGUCCCUCGGUUGGACACAAGGAGGCAGCAGCGAUUUGCAAACAAUCACUAGAAUGUCAUUAGGGCAGGCGUUCAAUCACAGCCACUCUCAGACACUGGGAGGUUUGUGCAUUUGGAAUUCCAGCUAAUUUAAAAAUAGCUGUGCUAUUUUUCUCCUCUGCUGACAGAGAUCCAUGCAUGGUUAAAAGGGGGGAGAGAGAAAAAAAAAAAUCUACAGGGAAUUUUGGCUCCAGGUUCUUUGCAAACCUAAAUACAGUAUGGCAGAUGUUACCAUACUGCACAGCAGAAGCCUCAACACCAUCAUAAAAACCUCAAACAAUAAAUUAAAGAUUAUUUUGGAAUUUCUCAAAUACAAGCCAGUCAGAUUUUUGGGAUUUACCUUCUCACUUAAAUAUCUGAAUAGAUAGCCUUGUUUUUAAAAGACUACAACUGCCAUUCUUCUAUCCACCGAGUAAUCUAACUCCACCACCACCACCCUGCCCUAAAAAGGUGAAGAUUGUAUUUCCACAUGCUUUAGAAAAUAUUUUCUAUUGAAUUGUCAAAAUAUACAAAACCCGAUUUUAGUAAACAAAAGGAACUUUACUUCUUUAUGAAUAUGUCCAGCAGUUCAGAUUUGAUUAUAUAUAUUUUAGAGUAGAUGUAGAACUAUUAGUAAGAAGCCAAACUAUAAUGACUGACAGUAUUUUCUGCGUGACAAAUGGUUUUUGUUUUGUUUUUUUAAAAGAUUUGAAGAAUUUACAGAGGGAUUAAAAUUUGGGACUGAACCUUGGAAAAACUAGACUAUAGUAAUACUGUCAUGGAAGUUUUAAUAAUAGAAAUGAAAUGAAGUAAUUCGUAAUUCACAGACAUCCACUCGUUAUAUACCCUCCCUUCACUUGGACAUGCACAUCGCACUUAGGUACUUUCAGAAAUCAUUGUUUAAAAAAAGAUCUGAUAAAGCUUAAUUUAGUUGUCAGAAUUAGUUUAAUCUUGCCCCUGCAUGAUCCAUGUUAGGUUUUAUAGUGCUUUCACUCUAUUCAACCCCCGAUUAAAAAACUGGAAGUACUCUUAAUUUUACAAGUAAUCCAUCCACACACAUUUCAUGACUUCUCAGAAACCUGCAAAUUAAACAGUUCCUUACCUCCACUGCAUAUACACAUUGAUUUAAUAACUAGAAUUGCCAGCAAUGAUUUCUACCCUCACGCACACUUUCUCCUGUGGGCACUAGCUAGUGGGCAGCUUCUUCUCCCCCCAUGCUACAAAAUUAAGCACAAAUUAUAUUUUACGUAUUUAUUAAUUGUUCCUUCCAAGUUAAAAAGAAAAAAAAAAAAUCUUAAAAAAUGGAGGGCCUGAGUUUUAAACUGGCUAUUGAGAGUGCGAUUUUUAAAAGCCCCCUAAAUAAUUACAAUCCAGAACUUUCCCAUAUUAGAUUAAAAUAGUUCCUCUUCAUUUGGGGGAGGGCAGGGGAAGGGAUGAAGGAGAGGUAGGCUCUAUCACUUCUCUCUCCUGGGGCAAACACCAUGUUCCACUUUUCUCCGCCUCCCAUAGGAGAAGGAAGAAAGGGGAGCACAGGGCCUCAUUCCAUCCAGCUUUUCCUCUCUACAGAGGAAGAAUACAUUGCUUCUUUACACCCUGAUUUACAUACUCCUGAAUGGUUUAAUCUCCUCCUUUUCAAGGAAAGUCCAGUGUGUGACAGCGGGCCCUAGGUUUUGUCCCAAGGGUUCAUGCAAACUUUGUGUGUGGGUUUCAAAUAGCAGCCUGGCUGAAAGGAGGGUCAGGACCAAAAUAAGAAAUUAAAGCACACAUGUAGACAGAACAAUGGAUCAGAUGUGUGUGGAGGGGUGUCUUGCAAUAACUGGAAAAACUGGAUUUAAAUUGGUGUUUCUUGUACAUAUUACCAGAUUUUUUGUGUAUGGGGCGUGGGGAGAAAGAUUUAGUUUAAAGGACUAGAUUAAAAUCUUGUGCUCUUGUAAUUUAAAAUUAGAGAUUUGGUUGUCAUUUUACACUUACUUGCACUGAUGUAAUUGUUAUAAAAACAGGCUUUUAAAAGAAUCACAUUUGUCAUCACAAGACAUAUUUUAUCCUGUAACUAUAUUUGACUAGAAGGAAGAUUUUAGAUAAAUAUGAAGUCAGUCACAACUAAAGCCACUCUAAACAAAUAUCCUUGUUAUAGUUCAUGUUUCACAUUAUGCAAAUUAAAUAGCUGUACACUUCAGUACACAGUUCUGUGAAUAUAAAAUGAGAGACUGUCAUAUACAUUUAUUGUGCCUUUAAAGGCAGUGACUGGAUUUUGUUAAGGAAACAAAGAUUAAUAUGUGAAGUUCAUUUGGACAAAAUUUAAAAAAGACAUUCCUAUUUUUUCCUUUGUAAAUUUAUGCUUUGAAUUUUCACUAGGGGAAUGAGACAUCACAUCUCUCCUGAGUAAAAAGGUAUCCCUUACACUACAUCUCUUUCUUCCCCCGUUUUUACUCAGGUAGAGAUAUGAUGUGACACCUAUCCUCAAAUGAACUGAAACAAUUUGAGCCUUGUGUUUGAAUUCAUUUUUCCCCCCCAGUUAUUAAUUCAAAAAGGUUUCAAACAAACAGUUGGUUGUCUGAUGCUGUUAAAACAAUUGUGUUUACAACAGAUGAGACACUGUAUUAGCAGUAUGACAGAGCUAACAUUUUAUUUAAAAAGCACUGCAGGCUUUAGUAAUGCAAGGAAUUAGUUGUUAAUUCCUAAAGAGAAGAGAAUUGGGAUUAGAGGACUAAAGAUCUGAAUUAUCAGUUUUACCCUUAGCUCAAUUCACUCAUUUGUAGAACGUGCAGCAUUUCCCUUCAAGAUCCUUGAAUAAGAAGGUGCUAUGUAGAUGGGGAAGUAGCCAUGGGGAGCCGAGGAAGCUCAGAUGCCCAGAGGUGCCAAAGAAUAGGAGGAGGAAGUAGGACAGAGCCCAGGAAAAUAGCAAUCAGGUCUUGAAGUAGACCAUAGCUGCAGAGCAUAGGGUCCCUGUGCAGGAACAUGGAGUACAGGAUGGGCCUGGAUUCUCCUACCAGCUACUGGGGAAGCUUUACCGCCUUAGACAUAGAAUGGAGGACUGGCAGGAAGGGCAGGGGGACAGUUAGUCUGGAGUGAUUUUGACAGACCUCAGAAGAGAUGGUACUGUGAUCCAGCUAGAGGGCCAAGUCAUGAAGAGGGAGCAGCCAGAGUCCCAAAGAAGACGGCAACCCUGAGUCCUGGAGGGUAAGACUGCGACAACAGCUGAGUUGGAACCGUAGGUAGGGAAGCUACUGGUGACCAGUGGUGAGCUAUUCCCCAGGUGAGCCAUGAGGAGACACACCAGCAGAGCGUAAUGAACCCUGUUACAGCCUCAAAACCCCAUUCUAAGGAUGGCAGCCUGAAGGGUGACAGGGUAAUUCCACUCUCCUUCAGUCCCUAGCAUCUGCAGUUGUUUUGUGAACACUUAUCCACUUAUUCAGGAUUCAGGUGAAGACUCAACUCCUUCUACAUGUCACUAAAAACUUGAUGAGAAAGGCUUUAGUUAUUAUGGAGCUUCACCAGCUACAAACAUCCACAAUACUCAGAAAAUAUUCCAUAACCCUUUAUCAAUUCUCUAAAGUCCUAACAUUCCUGCAUAUUGAUGACUAACAGAUGCCAAAGAGAGAAGUGUCUGAAUAUUUCCACAUCACUGCAUUUAAAUGGAUAGUUAACUUUCUAUAUAGAGACUCAUUUCCAGUUCACCUUUUCCAUCCCAUUCAUUAGGGUGAAAAGAUAUAUAACAAGAGUUGUUUUAAUGAGUCAUUCAUACCUAACCAUGGCAAAAUAAAUUUGAUUGAAAUACUGUAAUUGAUAUAUUUUGCUUAUAAUCCUCUUGCUUAGUAGAUAAGUAUGGAGCUUGAGACAUUUAUUGACAUUUUACUGCCUCUGUCAAAGGAUACAGAAUGGCUCUAAGGUCAAUGGCGAAUAACCAUAUUCAGUUUGAAAAUAAAUUAUUAUGAUAACAUAUGAUUCAACAAAAAUGUGAUACAGUAGGCAGAGAAAAAUCCCAAUAAUACAAUAUGUAGACCUACGGCAUUAUGUCAAAGAGGGAGUCAUCAUGAGUCAAUUAAUAAGUGCUCUCUCCAUUAAUUAGCAUGGACAGGUGUCCACAUUGCAAGAAAUUCCAUUAAAUAGGCUUAAGUAACAGGCUGUCUGUAGGCAAAAGAUGGGAGAUGAAAGUAAACUUUCUUCUCACCCACGAAGGAGGUCCUUUCAGCUUAGAAGUUUGAGAAACACUGGCAGGGACAGCUGGAAAGCUUGCAUUGCCACUGCUUAUGCCAUCUCUCCCUUGUAAAAUAAAAGGAGUUCAGUCUCUUGGGCAGUCAAGCUGGCAGCUUUCAUGAACACUAAAUUCACUAAUAAAUAUGAAUGACUAUGCAAGUGUUGUAUCAAAACUGAUCAGAGUAAACAGCUGAGUCAAGGGUGGGAUUUUCAAAAGUACUCAGCACUUUCUAACUGUACAGUAAUUGAUAGAAUUAAAACAAAGUUAAUUCCACAGUAAAGAUGGGGUGAGGGAAAACAAGACAAAACCUGAUUUGCCCAAAAUCAAACAAGUAGCCAGUGACAGCUGGAAUCUGAACUAGAUUGAAUUCCGCUUUUCUGUUCAGGGUAUGUGCAACUUUCUAAAGUAAUAUUUCUUGUACAUCCCAUCCCUAAGAGGUUAGUACAAUAGUUGGUGGGGGACUUUGGUUGGUUUAGUUUGACUACUUAUUUCCUUAACUUAAUUCAAAGGCACAUGAAGUGCCAGACAGACAUCUUUUUGUAUGUUAGAGUAUGUUUGUAUGUAUAUUAGAGGAAUCAAAAUAGAAUCUUUGGCCCAAUGCAAACUUAAAAUUUACAAGUCUCUUUAAAAAGACAAAAGCAUCUCUAUUUCCCUCUGCCUCUAAUCAGGUUUGUGGUUACACCUUUGUAUCUGAGCAUAUGCCAACCUGAUUUGUUCCUUUAACUGCCCUUUAUCCCAACAUUACUCCCCCAAGUGAACUGUUAGAAUGCACUAUACUCAUUACUUACAAUUUACACUAAUUACGCUUGCUUUAAAAAGGAAAAAAAUUUGUUGCAACUUGUAAAUACCCAUUUUGAUCUGGAAGAUUACACAGAUUCUGAAUAGUUUAACAGUAAAUAUUUAGUUACUGAAGUGGAAUAUUUAGGAUUCUGUAUACAAAACAUCAGCAUCAUUUGGAACUUACACAUUUUUGAGGAAAUAUUUGCCAUACAAAUAAUAUAUUUUUAAAUGUAGUAUUUGAACACAGUUUAUUCAGUAACUUCUGAACAAUACCUCAGCAACUGAAAAUUUCAAAUAUUGUUUGGUUACAUCUAAUUUGCAUUAGGUACUGAAGGUAUCCUUUGAUACAUUGUCACUAACUUAUUCCUACUGCCAGUGAAGACCAGUGUCCAUUCUCCCACUGAUACAUGAAGACAAUACAACAACAAUUUGUUGUAGCAUAAAUGUAAAGGGCAAAUAUAUUCUAGGUAAUCCACACAAUAUCUGGCAAUUUAAGUUAUUCACUUAAUGUGACAAGGAAACCAGACUGAAAAAUAAGUCCUAUAUAUUCAAUAAAGAAUUAGAAUAAUGGCAGAGAAAAGAUACUGUAGAUUUAGAUUUAAGGUUAAAAAACAACAAACAAACAAACAGACUAUACGAGUCGAACAGAAGAGUAAAAAAACAGCUAGGUAAUUAUAAAAAUCAAGUGUCUCCUUAGCAAGUGGCCUAACAGUGCCAACAGCUGACAGAUUGCUUUGUACAAGUACAGAAAAUGUAAUUGUUUCACAGAUAUGAGGUCGUGAUUUUGGCUGACCUCAUACUAUUUCCUGUAAUAUUUAUAUGCUGAGGCACUUACCAACUUUAUAAAAAUCAAACAUUUUAAUAUGUAAAGGAAGUUGAUUUCCUUAUUGUAAGUAUUUCCUCCUAAUAUUGCUACAUAUAGGAUGAAAACGAAAAGCUUCUGACUGACGUGUACAGCUAUUUAAGAUCUGACUUAGUAUUGCGUUUAUACCCAGCAGAAGACCUAUAGUUCUGGAGAAAAAAAUUCCUGAAGGGAACUGUUAAAAAGAUUUAACAAAAAAAAGUUAUACAUUCUCAUCCUCAUAACAGAAAGAUACUUAUGGCUGUCGAUUGUUGGCAAGCAAUAAAAAUAGAGAUUUCAAUUUAAACAAGUGUUAGAGAAAAAGUUCUGAAAGGCAGACAGAGGAGAUGGAACUCUGGGACUAUUUCAAAUAAGGGUAUAUAGGCUAGGUUUGGAAGGACUAGAUUUUUAUCGGGAAAUGUUGAUUUCACCUUUGUGACCCAGGGACCUCUUGGUGCCAACUGGCAGGGACAACAAGAGUGCCUAAGGGCUACAGGGAUCCCCUGGCUCUGGUAUUUACUUCACUAAUUCACCAAAGUAUAUUAUGUAAAGUUUCUAAUGAAAGCUAGUGUCAUAAGAGUCCUCAAUGAUUGUGAAAUGCAUACAUGGAUAGUAUGCAAGAAGUUAUGCAUAUAUUAUACUGAAAGUUAUGUUAAGUUCUCUGAUUUUGGGCUGGUCACCAGUAAAGGGGUGAGAGGUUUACGUUUAUCCAUCUGUCUACACAUAAAUUGCGUAACGUAAGGUUCACAAUGGACAACCCAUUUACAAUCUGAGCAGAAUGUUAAUCAAGUGAUUGCGAAGAUUCCAGAGGAGAA